GGUUUAGAUAGAGGUUGCGUAUUUAAUGAGUAUUUCUGUGGAUGUGACAGGCACAGAUGAAUCAGAAAAAAAGGUAAAUACGCCGAAAGGUUCAAUUACCUGAAGAUUGGAUACUUGGGCAUGCAGCAAACAGCUGUAUGACUGUCAUCGAAAGAUGGGGCGCUAUCAACAAU
rnacentral:ncRNA from 2 species